CUUGCCGAAGAAGUAGGCUCAGAGACGGAGACGGAGACGGCGGAAGAAAAAUUCCGCAUCGUGGCGAACACGGAACUCGCUGAGGUGUGGGCGAAGGGGGACAAAGGAUAUCCUCAACUGCUCAGGGAGCUCUGACUAUUCCAAGGCAUGGAGGUGGUGCAGUAUUUCUAUGAGUCAAGUGACCUGGAUUCGAUCCUGAUCUCCGGUGGAGUCUGCACAGAAUUUACACGUUCGUGCUGACGCUAUGUGGAUUUCUGCUUGAUGCUCCCAUAUCCUAAAAGGGUAGACUGUCAUUCCUCUGCACUUGGAUCAGCAGAUGCCAGCGCUCACCAUGACACAUUAGGGAUAUUUAAGAGACUGCUAGAUAGGCACAUUGAUGAAAGAAAAAUAGAGAGCUGUGUGGGAGAGAAGCACUGGAUUAACCUUGGAGUAGGUCCACACCAUCGUGCGUUGAAGGGACUAUACUGUGCUGUAGUGGUCUAUUAUCUAUGAAUCGGCGGGUGACAUGCUAACUCCUCGGCUGUGAAAACACCAGGCAGGUGGCUUUUUAAAGGGAAGGCUGCCAGCAAGAUUCUGAGUGCUAGUGACCACUCUCGUGUUCGUAGAUUGGAACACAGCCCCUCCGCAAACCCAUAAGGCCCCAUGGGGCUGAUUUGCCGGGUUGGUAGGUGAUCUUAACGUGGCGGAGAUUCAAGCUGAACACCAGUGGCACAUUGGGUGCUUGAUGGUCUUUUUUAAUGGGUUCUGCUGGAUUUGUUGUUUUGUGGCUGU